rnacentral:tRNA from 1 species
GGUCUCGUAGUUCAACGGAUAGAAUAGAUGUUUCCUAAACAUUUGAUCCCAGUUCGAUUCUGGGCGAGACUA